rnacentral:lncRNA from 1 species
UUCUCGAAGGAAACGACCGUUGCAUAUGUUAACGCAAACCCUGUUAAUUUAACAAUACAUUAUAAUCAAACUAAUCAAAUGCAUGUCAUCUAUGGUCAAGAUCCUACCGGAGUGGAUUUUCAAUUAAAUUUUCCCUGGAAGGCGAGUAGAUUAUUUACUCGUGCUGACUUCUUUGGAAAACAUGCUUAUUUCAAAUCUGCACACUACGAAAAUGAAUUAUUUAUGAAUUUUUACCCAGAUCAAUUAGGUGUUACACUUUAUUU